UACGAAGGGGGCUAGCGUUGCUCGGAAUCACUGGGCGUAAAGCGCACGUAGGCGGAUUCUUAAGUCAGGGGUGAAAUCCUGGAGCUCAACUCCAGAACUGCCUUCGAUACUGAGAGUCUCGAGUCCGGGAGAGGUGAGUGGAACUGCGAGUGUAGAGGUGAAAUUCGUAGAUAUUCGCAAGAACACCAGUGGCGAAGGCGGCUCACUGGCCCGGUACUGACGCUGAGGUGCGAAAGCGUGGGGAGCAAACAGG
rnacentral:rRNA from 1 species